UAGAUACCCUGGUAGUCCAUGCCGUAAACGGUGGGCGCUAGGUGUGAGUCCCUUCCACGGGGUUCGUGCCGUAGCUAACGCAUUAAGCGCCCCGCCUGGGGAGUACGGCCGCAAGGCUAAAACUCAAAGGAAUUGACGGGGGCCCGCACAAGCGGCGGAGCAUGUGGAUUAAUUCGAUGCAACGCGAAGAACCUUACCUGGGCUUGACAUACACCGGAUCGGGCUAGAGAUAGUCUUUCCCUUGUGGCUG
rnacentral:rRNA from 1 species